rnacentral:tRNA from 1 species
GGGCUUGUAGCUCAGUUGGUUAGAGCACACGCUUGAUAAGCGUGGGGUCGCUAGUUCAAGUCUAGCCAGGCCCACCA